rnacentral:lncRNA from 1 species
CUUGUAUUCUGUUUAUGGAGAGUACCUUCUCUGCAGCGGACAAUGAUCAGAUAUUUCACAUCGAAUCCAGCCUCAAAGGUCCUUUGUUCUCCAAUGUUGCUGUCAACAUUCAGUCAUUUCUCCUUAUUUCACAUGGCAGCAAAUAUGUAUGUUUUGUGGAGCUUCUCUUCCAGCAUAGUGAACAUUCUGGGUCAAGAGCAGUUCAUGGCAGUGUACCUAUCUGCAGGUGUUAUUUCCAAUUUUGUCAGUUACGUGGGUAAAGUUGCCACAGGAAGAUAUGGACCAUCACUUGGUGCAGCCCUGAAAGCCAUUAUCGCCAUGGAUACAGCAGGAAUGAUCCUGGGAUGGAAAUUUUUUGAUCAUGCGGCACAUCUUGGGGGAGCUCUUUUUGGAAUAUGGUAUGUUACUUACGGUCAUGAACUGAUUUGGAAGAACAGGGAGCCGCUAGUGAAAAUCUGGCAUGAAAUAAGGACUAAUGGCCCCAAAAAAGGAGGUGGCUCUAAGUAAAACUGGGAUUGGACAGUAGUGGUGCAUCUGGUCCUUGCCGCCUGAGAGCCCCAGGAGACAUCGGCUAGAGUGACCAUGGCUAUGCUCCCGUCUGGAAGAUGCCAGCAUCUGGCCUCCCACUGUUUUCAGCUGUGUCCCCCAGUCCGUGUCUUUUUAGAAUGUGAAUGAUGAUAAAGUUGUGAAAUAAAGGUUUCUAUCUAGUUUGU